rnacentral:rRNA from 1 species
GCGCGAAAACUUUACAAUGCUGGCAACAGCGAUAAGGGAACCUCGAGUGCCAGGUUACAAAUCUGGCUGUCGAGAUGCCUAAAAAGCAUUUCAUAGCAAGGGCCGGGCAAGACCGGUGCCAGCCGCCGCGGUAACACCGGCGGCUCGAGUGGUAACCGUUAUUAUUGGGUCUAGAGGGUCUGUAGCCGGCCGUAUAAGUCUCUUGAGAAAUCUGGCAGCUUAACUGUCAGGCUUUCAGGAGAUACUGUCUGGCUCGAGGCCGGGAGAGGUGAGAGGUACUUCAGGGGUAGGGGUGAAAUCGUGUAAUCCUUGAAGGACCACCAGUGGCGAAGGCGUCUCACCAGAACGGACCUGACGGCAAGGGACGAAAGCUAGUGGCACGAACC